rnacentral:rRNA from 1 species
CCUACGGGAGGCAGCAGUGGGGAAUAUUGGACAAUGGGGGGAACCCUGAUCCAGCCAUGCCGCGUGUGUGAAGAAGGCCCUCGGGUUGUAAAGCACUUUCAGUGAGGAAGAACGCCUGGUGGUUAAUACCCAUCAGGAAAGACAUCACUCACAGAAGAAGCACCGGCUAACUCCGUGCCAGCAGCCGCGGUAAUACGGAGGGUGCGAGCGUUAAUCGGAAUUACUGGGCGUAAAGCGCGCGUAGGUGGCUUGAUAAGCCGGUUGUGAAAGCCCCGGGCUCAACCUGGGAACGGCAUCCGGAACUGUCAAGCUAGAGUGCAGGAGAGGAAGGUAGAAUUCCCGGUGUAGCGGUGAAAUGCGUAGAGAUCGGGAGGAAUACCAGUGGCGAAGGCGGCCUUCUGGACUGACACUGACACUGAGGUGCGAAAGCGUGGGUAGCAAACAGGAUUAGAUACCCUGGUAGUC